CCUGCCGGCGACCGGCGCACGGGUGAGUAACACGUAUGUAACCUGCCCUAUGCAGGGGGAUAACCCGGAGAAAUCCGGCCUAAUACCGCGUAACACCUUUUGGGAGCACUUCCCGGGAGGUUAAAGGAGAGAUCCGGCAUAGGAUGGACAUGCGUCGCAUUAGGUAGACGGCGGGGUAACGGCCCACCGUGCCGACGAUGCGUAGGGGUUCUGAGAGGAAGGCCCCCCACACUGGUACUGAGACACGGACCAGACUCCUACGGAAGGCAGCAG
rnacentral:rRNA from 1 species